rnacentral:rRNA from 1 species
GACAGAGGGUGCAAACGUUGCUCGGAAUUACUGGGCGUAAAGCGCGUGUAGGCGGGCUUGUAAGUCGGAUGUGAAAUCCCUGAGCUCAACUCAGGAACUGCAUUCGAAACUGCAAGUCUGGAGUGGUGGAGAGGGAAGCAGAAUUCCUGGUGUAGAGGUGAAAUUCGUAGAUAUCAGGAGGAACACCGGUGGCGAAGGCGGCUUCCUGGACACUUACUGGACGCUG